rnacentral:rRNA from 1 species
UACGGGGGGGGCAAGCGUUGUUCGGAAUUACUGGGCGUAAAGGGCUCGUAGGCGGCCAACUAAGUCAUACGUGAAAUCCCUCGGCUUAACCGGGGAACUGCGUCUGAUACUGGAUGGCUUGAGUUCGGGAGAGGGAUGCGGAAUUCCAGGUGUAGCGGUGAAAUGCGUAGAUAUCUGGAGGAACACCGGUGGCGAAGGCGGCUAUCUGGACGGUGACUGACGCUGAGACGCGAAAGCGUGGGGAGCAAACAGG